GAUGAACGCUGGCGGCGUGCUUAACACAUGCAAGUCGAACGAAGAGCGAUGGACGCUUGCUUCUAUCAAUCUUAGUGGCGAACGGGUGAGUAACGCGUAAUCAACCUGCCCUUCAGAGGGGGACAACAGUUGGAAACGACUGCUAAUACCGCAUACGAUCUAAUCUCGGCAUCGAGGAUAGAUGAAAGGUGGCCUCUACAUGUAAGCUAUCACUGAAGGAGGGGAUUGCGUCUGAUUAGCUAGUUGGAGGGGUAACGGCCCACCAAGGCGAUGAUCAGUAGCCGGUCUGAGAGGAUGAACGGCCACAUUGGGACUGAGACACGGCCCAGACUCCUACGGGAGGCAGCAGUGGGGAAUCUUCCGCAAUGGACGAAAGUCUGACGGAGCAACGCCGCGUGAGCGAUGACGGCCUUCGGGUUGUAAAGCUCGGUUAAUCGGGACGAAAGGCCUUCUUGCGAAUAGUGAGAAGGAUUGACGGUACCGGAAUAGAAAGCCACGGCUAACUACGUG
rnacentral:rRNA from 1 species